GGGGCGCCGAGGGGAACGGGGCAAGCCCGGAGACGGGCCGCCCCUGGAACCUCCCGCCCGCCCGCGGAGGUCCCCGGCGGGCCGCCGAAAGGCGGGGGUAAAAACCAGCCGGGGACGCGGCCCCCAAACAGGGCCAAUGAGACCGCGGCGAGGCCCGGGUAGGGGGCAAGAUCAAUACCCCAACAGAAGCGGGGGUACGCGGCGCCCC
rfam:Pyrobaculum calidifontis JCM 11548, complete genome.